rnacentral:rRNA from 1 species
GGGGAAUUUUGGACAAUGGGCGCAAGCCUGAUCCAGCAAUGCCGCGUGAGUGAAGAAGGCCUUCGGGUUGUAAAGCUCUUUCAGUCGAGAAGAAAAGAUUACUGAUAAUACCAGUAAUCCAUGACGGUAUCGACAGAAGAAGCACCGGCUAACUACGUGCCAGCAGCCGCGGUAAUACGUAGGGUGCGAGCGUUAAUCGGAAUUACUGGGCGUAAAGGGUGCGCAGGCGGUUAUGUAAGUCCGAUGUGAAAUCCCCGGGCUUAACCUGUGAACUGCGUUUGAAACUACAGGACUAGAGUGUGGCAGAGGGGGGUGGAAUUCCAUGUGUAGCAGUGAAAUGCGUAGAGAUAUGGAAGAACAUCGAUGGCGAAGGCAGCCCCCUGGGUUAACACUGACGCUCAUGCACGAAAGCGUGGGGAGCAAAC